CUUAGGGGCUCAUUAGUUGGCUUUAUUUGAGUUUAGUCACUCCAGAGCUGAAUGGAGCCUUCCUAUAAGUUAUCCCCAACAAAGCAGCCCUAAACAUCAGCCACGGUCCGGCAGAGGAGGAAAUGCCCUGGAUUCACCUGCGGCACCUGCCUGCACCCCGGUACCUCCACCUCCGCAGCGUCCACGGAUCCUUACGCUCCACCCCAGCUGCCACCGCUCAGCACCCCGCCGGCCGGGCCAGGGCCGGAGAGCCUGGUUCCCGCCUCACCCCGGCGGCAGAGGCCAGGCCCGGUCCCUGCACCGAGUCGAUCCUCUCGAGGCCCUCCGGCCGCAGCCUCUCCGAACGGCAGCCCGCGGGCUCCGGGGACCUCCCGCCCACUCACUCAGCGACUAGGCCAGCCGGCCGCUCCCCUCCUCCCGCGCGGUCCCGCACGCUACCUGAGCGGCCUGGCGGAGCGGGAGGAAUCGGGCAGGGCAGCGGUGCGGACUCACCUGCGCCGGCCCAGUCGGCGACUGUCCGACACCGGAGCUUCCUGGGGUGAGAAAGCGCCGGCUACGCGGCCUGGGCACCCUCCGCUGGCAGGGCCGGGACUCCGGGGCCCCUCUGCGCCUGCGCCUCCGCGCGGCCGGGUCUCCAGGGGACAGCCUGCAGCGAGGGCAACUGCCGACCGAAGGGCUCGCGGGCCGCGGGCGCUGCGGGAGGACCGACGUCUAGGCACUGCCCGGGGCGAGACUGUCCGGACCACAGACCGCCAUGUUUCUGUUCCCUAUUCUUUUUUGCCUUCCCUUCCUUCCGCUCUUUUCCACAGAACACCACUUUCCCUCCCUCCGUCCCUCUCCCUUUCCUUCUGCGGGGGCGGUAGAAAGGACGCGGGGGGUGGGGUCCGAGGUCGGACCCGCCCCGCUAGAGCCACGCCCCUGUGGUUGGGCUCCACCCAGAGGUUGACCCACGCCCCCAGACUCCUACCAAGCCUCAGGCUCAGGCCACGCCUCUGCGCUUGUGCCCCGCCCCGCGAGCGCCCUCCUCCUGGCAGAAUUCUGGCGGACCUCGGGGCGCUCCUUAGAAUCCCGACGCCGAAGCGAGAGUCCUCCAGCUCUCCUGGCGCUAGUUGUAACCUUUCUGUUUGUUCUGCGGUGUUUUGUUUUGUUUUGUUUUGUUUUGUUUUGUUUUGUUUUGUUUUGUUUUGUUUUGUUUUGUUUUGUUGCGGUUGCCUGUGGCAGGUGACUACCGCCUCUCCAGGCUCAGGUUUUCAGAGAAUGAGAAAGUGACUUAGAAUAGCUCAAGGUCAAUGAAAGAAAAAAAAAAGCCUAGAGAGACUUGCAGUUUCUCUUUAGUAGAGGCUGGAAGUUCCACCCAUAAUUGUGUGACCCCAAAGUCUGAGUGACACUGGAGGGCUGCCCUUCUCUAAGCCAUCCAAAGACCUCUGAGAGACCUUAGCUGCGUUGUCUUUCUCUACUUCUAUCCAGAUUUUGAUAACGCCAAACGAGUAACUCUUUAGUUUAGAUAAUCGUAAUUUGCUGCCUCUCAAAGGUAACCUAGAUCUCGAGGUAAACAUUCUGAAGCUGAUGGUUGUGAGCCUCAGGACAGAGUGCUGAGGAUUUGACUCUGGUCCUAAAGAGAGCAGCAAGUACUCUGAAAUAAUAAUCUCUUUAGCACCCAAUUUUCAGUUCUGCAGGUACUGAAGGACGGAAUUGGAGAGUCUUCACUGUAAUGAAAUUUUGACAAAAUAUUUUAAUUUGUUUUGUUUGUUUGGCAGAAGGUAAGGUGGUGUGUAGGGUCUCACUAUUUAGCCCUGGCAUUUCCUGCAAGUCUUAUUUGUAAAUCAGGCUGGCCUUAAACACUCACCCUCCAUUGCUGGAAUUAAAGACUUGUGCUACCA
rnacentral:lncRNA from 1 species